rnacentral:rRNA from 1 species
GAUGAACGCUGGCGGCGUGCCUAAUACAUGCAAGUCGAGCGAACAGAUGAGGAGCUUGCUCCUCUGACGUUAGCGGCGGACGGGUGAGUAACACGUGGAUAACCUACCUAUAAGACUGGGAUAACUUCCGGAAACCGGAGCUAAUACCGGAUAAUAUAUUGAACUGCAUGGUUCAAUAGUGAAAGACGGUUUUGCUGUCACUUAUAGAUGGAUCCGCGCCGCAUUAGCUAGUUGGUAAGGUAACGGCUUACCAAGGCAACGAUGCGUAGCCGACCUGAGAGGGUGAUCGGCCACACUGGAACUGAGACACGGUCCAGACUCCUACGGGAGGCAGCAGUAGGGAAUCUUCCGCAAUGGGCGAAAGCCUGACGGAGCAACGCCGCGUGAGUGAUGAAGGUCUUCGGAUCGUAAAACUCUGUUAUUAGGGAAGAACAAAUGUGUAAGUAACUAUGCACGUCUUGACGGUACCUAAUCAGAAAGCCACGGCUAACUACGUG